CCACUUACCUGGCAGGAAAGAGACCGUGGUCACGAAGGGGGUUCUCCCAGAGUGAAGCUUCUUCAUCGCACUCUAGGGCUACUGAUCUCUGUGAUUUCUUCAAUGUAGGAAACGGUGUUUGUGCUAGAAGAGGGCUGCGCUCUUU
rnacentral:snRNA from 1 species